GAAAGAGUUGUGGUUUGGAAUGAGAAUGAGAAUAGAUGAUUCUCAUUCCAAUUAUUUGAUUGAAAGGAGUUCCAUUUUGGUUCUGAUUCUAGGAUGAGGGGAGAAUAGUCUAAUACUCAUAAAAUCUAAUCCAUACUCUCUUCUAAGGAUUCAAAUCUUCAUUCCAAUUUUGAUUCUACUCAUGAAUCAAACACUUCGGAGGAUACACUAUUUUGAUUCCAAUUUCAAUUUCAAUCAUGAACCAAACAUCCACUGAAGGUAUUUGUAACAUAGGGC
rnacentral:lncRNA from 1 species